rnacentral:rRNA from 1 species
UACGAAGGGGGCUAGCAUUACUCGGAAUUACUGGGCGUAAAGCGUGCGUAGGCUGCUUAGUAAGUUGGAAGUGAAAUCCUGGAGCUCAACUCCAGAAUUGCUUUCAAAACUGCUUGGCUAGAGAUCUAGAGAGGAUAGCGGAAUUCCUAGUGUAGAGGUGAAAUUCGUAGAUAUUAGGAGGAACACCGGAAGCGAAAGCGGCUAUCUGGCUAGACACUGACGCUGUUGCACGAAAGCGUGGGGAUCAAACAGG